AUGCCUUUUCUUUUUAUUCUGGGGAAUUUUAAUAAAAGCACAAAGCCAAGACUGCCAGAGUGCAGAGCUGUUCUCUCCGGGACAGAACCAAGAGCCCUCCUGCAGCUCCGGAUGACGUCCAUGUCUCAUUGGGUCGCUGGGACAAUUUGGAUGCCGGAUUCUCUGCUUGUAACUCCUUUUGGGAAUGUCAUUGUUUUAUAUUAUGCAUGACACAGAUCCUACACUAUACACAACGCAGCUGCUGGUGAGAGAGAACCAGUCCUGAGAUGCAGAGGAGCCCCCCGAGCUCAGCGUGGCUUGUCUGAAAACAGGAUUUGCUAGUGGAGGCAUUGCCACCUCCACUAUCCAAGCCCCAUGAGGCUGACAUGAGGCACCGAGCCCUGAUCUGCGGGGCCGUGGUGGUCCCUGCCCCUCCACUCACUGCCAUGCUUCUCCUCAAAGACACCAGUGCUGGUAUCAGUGCACUCCCUUUUCUGGGGGAAACCAAUACACUUGCUUUUCAUGCCAGCUAACUCAAGAUGUUGAUUUGAUUUUGCUCUGCUCUUUUCUGCCACAUGCAUGCACAGUGAACCUAAUUUUUAAAGUUUGAUGACUUUCAGGAAGAUAAUAUCCAUAACAAUCGUGACAUCUGAGAUAGUCCCACCCUGGCAGCAUUAUAGGAAACUGACUGGCCUUUCUCUGGAAAAUGCAGGCACCGAAUGCCGAGUCCCGGUGCAUGGAAUUUCUCAGAGCCGGGCACAAACAUCCACGAGGGCAGCAGAUGAAAGACUCCCACUCCUGAAGCUUGCACACUUCUCCGGGCAACCACCACUGCUGUCUGGGCGACCAGACUCCCGGGGACUGCCAGGGGAUUUCCCAGAUCGGCACUGCCUUGGGGGUCCAGCUGGAAGGGUACGGCACAGCACGCCACCGGAGCACCGGGGCAGUUCGAACAUCGCCACGCAGCCGCCGGGCACGGUGAGCGCUGCGAGGCCGGCUCUGGCCGGACACAGUGGCGGCUGCAGGGCUGAGUGCUCGUGCCCGCAAAUCCCGGGGGAAUGUGAUCCCAAAGUGAUGGCCAUCCUCGGGAGCCAUGGCCACUCGGAGAACAACAUAAUGUCAGGUCCUGACAUGUCUUCUCGAAACGGGAAAAAACAUGCCGUGGGAAAGGAGCCCCCUGCACCAUUUGGGAGCCCGCAGCUCUGGUGCCGUGCCCAGCCUCGGGCGAGCAGCUCGGAGGGGCUCACGGCGGCACAGCCGGGGCGUGGGGCCACUCUGGGAGCAGCUGGACAGGCCACGAAUUCCUGCCGGCGGCCGGCCCGGCGGGGCAUAGCAACGGGAGCCGGGGGAGGAACGGGAAGCAGCGGGAGCUGUGAGAAAGCGAGCGGCGCCGCGGAGAGAGGCGGGGGCGCGGAGGAGGAGGAGGAGGGGGCAGGGGCGGCCAGGCCGGGUUGCGCGGCGGCGGCUCGGGCCCUCCCGCCGGGCACGGCUCCUCUCCGGGCAGCCGUACGCCACCCAAAGCCGCCGGUUUGCGGCCGCUGAGGUUCCCGCCAGCCUGCGCCGGGCUCGAUCCCCGCGACACGCACCGCGCUGCCGCCAGCCCCGCAGCGGGGGUCGGGGCCCUGCUGCCUCCCCCCGCCGCUCCCAGCCGGGGCACGCACCGAGCGCCCCCGCCAGCGCUGGCUGCCCGCCUCUCGCAGCGCCGCUGUCUCGGCCGAGGCUGCGGAACGGCAUCGCUCCCCGGGCCACGGGGGCGUUUGAAGUGCCGUGGCCCCGGGGUCCCUCCUCCGCUCGGUGCAGCCGUGGCUGCUCCGCACAGGGUCCAGCUCCCGAGGAGAACCAGCCUCGCCGGGGGCAGGCAUUGCGAAGCCACUAGAUUUCAUGUCAGAAAGGAUGUUUUACUGCACGAGUUUGUUCUCCUGCUUGAAGAAAAUGUUAAUCAAAAUGCAGAGGAGACACAAUAGCUGUACAGAUACAUUAAAUAUCUAGUUACUACGCAAUAAAUAAUUAAUAAAGUUAAUCUAUUUCACCAAUCUCUGGUCAAGUAAUACCCUUACAACCAAUCAAUAGCAAUAAGGCAUAACAUUUGUAUGAGCCUUCUCUUUGCUGUGUGAUCAUUAAUAACCAACAGCUGAGCACUCCCGAUAUCGAAGGCCAGCAAAAACUUCAGAAAGUUUCGAUUACGU
rnacentral:lncRNA from 1 species